rfam:Clostridiales bacterium GWD2_32_19 gwd2_scaffold_432, whole genome shotgun sequence.
GGCCCUGUAGCUCAGUUGGUUAGAGCGCUGCCCUGUCACGGCAGAGGUCGUGGGUUCGAGUCCCCUCAGGGUCG